CGCCGGGGGGGCCGCCGGUGCAGCACUGAAUCUGUGAAUUGCUCCAGGCAAUAAUCCCCUUGCUGAGCCUGUACGGGACACAGAGUGCACGUUCAGUGCAAUGUGUGCAUCACAGAUCACACGUUACUUCUUAGCUGAUAUCAUCGUGCUCCAAUGCUCCAUCAUAUGUACCAGCGAACAAAUACUCCCUAUGUAUUUUGAUACAUGAUAUCGUUAAUCUUUUAGCAAUUUUUUUAUCAUUCGUUUUUUUAAAAUUAUUUAUUUUAUUAUAAUUAUAUUUAUUUCUAAGAUAUAUUAAGCAUGACUUAUAUUUUUUGUGUAUAUUUAUAUUUUUUAAUAGUAUAAAUGGGCAAACCUGUGUUAAUAAGUCAAUAAUAUCAUCAUUUAAAAUACUGAAGAAGUAGACAACUGGGCGGGCGUGAUCUUUUCUCCCAGGAGAGCAUCGAACUCGCGACAGUAUGACACUGAAGUUGGGCAUGAUGUGCCAGCACGAAGCAAAGAAGAAAAAGACAACUAAUUUUGGUUCUUCCGAGUUUUGAUAAGGAUCCGAUUGAGAGUGGCAUCAUAUCAGUCAGGAGAGAAACAAAACCUCAUACCCCCUGCCACAUGGGGACGAAAGCUCCAGCUAACAUACGUUAGUGCCAUGACUAACUCAUGACGUUACUACUUACAAGAAACCGCACAAACUUUUAACAGAAAAGGAUAAAGUUCUGGGAUGAAAUAUCUGAAGGCGAUGUCAAAAUAAUAUAUAUUUGAAGACAUAAAGUAGUUCUCACUCCAUCAGAGACGGAGAGAGAAACUCUCAGUCUCUCGUUAUGGCGAUCAUUACUUAGCAACUUCAUCAGAAAAAGAAGAAAAAUCUCCCUGAUCUAACAACAGAGAUGGCUUACAGUAAAAAUCUUAAACACUCGUAUCAUAAUUCAAGCGACAGAAAAUGCAAAAUAUUUCUGACCAACUCGAGGGCACAAGAAAAGAUCCAAGCAGAGAUCAUCACCUGCUCCCAGAGGAGCGGAGUCGCUAGCGGAGGAGACGGCAGGAGGCCUCGCGAUCAGGCGGCGAGAGAGAAGGGAGGAAGCAGCCCUCCUUGCAGACAUGUCUCGUUGCAGCCUAGUGCAGCAAACCUUGUGGAGUGGCCAGCAAUGGAGGGGUUAGCUAUAUAUAGUUUCUUCC
rnacentral:lncRNA from 1 species